rnacentral:rRNA from 1 species
UGAGUUUGAUCAUGGCUCAGAUUGAACGCUGGCGGCAGGCCUAACACAUGCAAGUCGAGCGGCAGCGGAAAGUAGCUUGCUACUUUGCCGGCGAGCGGCGGACGGGUGAGUAAUGUCUGGGGAUCUGCCUGAUGGUGGGGGAUAACUACUGGAAACGGUAGCUAAUACCGCAUAACGUCGCAAGACCAAAGUGGGGGACCUUAGGGCCUCACGCCAUCGGAUGAACCCAGAUGGGAUUAGCUAGUAGGUGAGGUAAUGGCUCACCUAGGCGACGAUCCCUAGCUGGUCUGAGAGGAUGACCAGCCACACUGGAACUGAGACACGGUCCAGACUCCUACGGGAGGCAGCAGUGGGGAAUAUUGCACAAUGGGCGCAAGCCUGAUGCAGCCAUGCCGCGUGUGUGAAGAAGGCCUUCGGGUUGUAAAGCACUUUCAGCGAGGAGGAAGGUAGUCGUGUUAAUAGCACGGCUAAUUGACGUUACUCGCAGAAGAAGCACCGGCUAACUCCGUGCCAGCAGCCGCGGUAAUACGGAGGGUGCGAGCGUUAAUCGGAAUUACUGGGCGUAAAGCGUACGCAGGCGGUUUGUUAAGUCAGAUGUGAAAUCCCCGAGCUUAACUCGGGAACUGCAUUUGAAACUGGCAAGCUAGAGUCUCGUAGAGGGGGGUAGAAUUCCAGGUGUAGCGGUGAAAUGCGUAGAGAUCUGGAGGAAUACCGGUGGCGAAGGCGGCCCCCUGGACGAAGACUGACGCUCAGGUACGAAAGCGUGGGGAGCAAACAGGAUUAGAUACCC